rnacentral:lncRNA from 1 species
CCAGACCUUUUGACAUGGCUGCCUGGCUGUUCUCAUGUCCCCUUCCCUCCCUUUUCUUUUCUGCUACAUGAACAGCCUCACACUACACCCGUGAUAUUCUGCUGGGAACUGGUGGCAUCUUGCUUCUGGGUGGAGCCCUGGCUGCUCUGAUCUGCUACUGCCAUAGGAAGAAAAGAGUUCCAAAGCCUCUGAAAAGCACCAAAGGAUCUGAGCCUGGAGAACACAUCAGGAACCUGGAUCCUGGUCAUGAUAAUAAGGGAUCAAAAGCCACGGGUGCCGGAGCGGAGCAGAUGGAACAGGGCUCAGAAGUCACCUAUGCACUCAUAGCAUUCCCGGCCUCACAGGCUCACACAACCCGGACAACAAAAAACCAAAACCUGCUGAAGAUGAGCAUGUGCUGUAUAGCGAGGUGGUGACAACGCACACCUGGAAGGCAACUAAAUAAGGAGGAGACACUCUCUCUAUGUCUCUCUGCAUGUUCUCCCCCUCCUCCUGGCAUCCAUAUCCUUAACCCUUUAUACCCCAAGAGGCCUUUUAUGCCUCUUGGCGAGGGGCACACCCCAAACACCAUUGCUAGAAUAUUUAGCCAACCAGCAUCUUGUCAUGUAUCAUAUAAAAACUGGUAACCCGUUGGUCAUGAACACCACUGUGUGAUGUAUGCACGGAUUGUGUAGCAAGUGUUACGUAUGUAUGCUGGAAAUAUGCUAUGAAUGUAGUUGAUAAAGAAGCCGGCCCUAGACAAAGGAAUGUGGAUUCAUGUGUCUGUGUGAAUCAGGCUAACUGGCAGAUAAGCAAAACAGCCUGGCUUGUGUGCUCCUGGCUGGUUUGAUGACCACUCUUACCCAGGCAGCCGGCAUAUCUGAGAACUUACAAUCUCAUAGCUGGAGACCAGACCAGGUCACCUGUGUGUUAGAUUUGCUCUAAAUAGAUAUUAGUCUUAUAAGAAUGUCUUUAAUGUUUAGAUGCUAUGAAAUGCUUGUAUGUUGCUGCCUGCAUUAAUCUAACUGAUAAUGUGAAUAUCCAAUGUUAUAAGUGUUUGCUCUGAAACUGUAAAUGCCCACAGUCUGGAGAGAAGCAUGACCAAGUGUGAAAUAUGAGUUUGCCACAAGAGGUGUUAUUUCCUGCCCAGCAAAAGCAGGCCCAUAGACACCUGACAAACCAUUGUGGAACAUCAGAGGACAAAACACUUUGUUGAUUGCGUCCCCCAACCCAUAUAGAGGAGACAUAGAUGGGAACUUGUCCCCUGCUUUUGAACUCUGGGGGAAGGGACUAAAAAUCCCUGAGAAGAAGAAAUUGCGUCAUUUUGGCUGUCUGAACUCAGAAGGGCCAGAGA